UAACUUAACUAAUACCAAAGUCCCUUUAAGGCAAGUCAUUUCAAUCGGCGGCCGUCUUUGAAACGCCUCUGGAGCAUGCAAGUGCAGCUCCUAUCUCUUUGAAUGGGGAAACAUCAAAAUCUCCAAAUCUGUUA